UACGUAGGGGGCUAGCGUUGUCCGGAUUUAUUGGGCGUAAAGAGCGUGUAGGCGGCCAGGUAGGUCCGGUGUGAAAACUCGAGGCUUAACCUCGAGAUGUCAUCGGAAACCAUCUGGCUAGAGUCCGGAAGAGGAAAGUGGAAUUCCUGGUGUAGCGGUGAAAUGCGCAGAUAUCAGGAGGAACACCGGUGGCGAAGGCGGAUCUCUGGGCCAUUACUGACGCUGAGGAGCGAAAGCGUGGGGAGCGAACAGG
rnacentral:rRNA from 1 species